rnacentral:rRNA from 1 species
CGCGGUAAUACGUAGGGUGCAAGCGUUAAUCGGAAUUACUGGGCGUAAAGCGUGCGCAGGUGGUUGUGCAAGACAGAUGUGAAAUCCCCGGGCUUAACCUGGGAAUUGCAUUUGUGACUGCACGGCUAGAGUGCGGUAGAGGGGGAUGGAAUUCCGCGUGUAGCAGUGAAAUGCGUAGAUAUGCGGAGGAACACCGAUGGCGAAGGCAGUCCCCUGGGCCUGCACUGACACUCAUGCACGAAAGCGUGGGGAGCAAACAGGAUUAGAUACCCUGGUAGUCCACGCCCUAAACGAUGUCAACUGGUUGAUGGGAGGGUUUCUUCUCAGUAACGUAGCUAACGCGUGAAGUUGACCGCCUGGGGAGUACGGCCGCAAGGUUAAAACUCAAAGGAAUUGACGGGGACCCGCACAAGCGGUGGAUGAUGUGGAUUAAUUCGAUGCAACGCGAAAAACCUUACCUACCCUUGACAUGGCA